rnacentral:sRNA from 1 species
UGUCUGUGAUUGAUGCGAUUUUAAAGCU